GUCUCAGCAACAGCCGUCGCCGG
rnacentral:snRNA from 1 species